rnacentral:rRNA from 1 species
UAACAAGGAUUCCCCUAGUAACUGCGAGUGAAGCGGGAAAAGGCUCAAAUCUAAAAUCUGGCUGCUCUGUCUGUCCGAGUUGUAAUCUGGAGAAGCGUUUUCCGCGCCGGACCGUGUACAAGUCUCUUGGAAUGGAGCGUCAUAGAGGGUGAGAAUCCCGUCCAUGACACGGACCGCCGGUGCUUUGUGAUACGCUCUCGAAGAGUCGAGUUGUUUGGGAAUGCAGCUCAAAAUGGGUGGUAAAUUCCAUCUAAAGCUAAAUAUUGGCGAGAGACCGAUAGCGAACAAGUACCGUGAGGGAAAGAUGAAAAGCACUUUGGAAAGAGAGUUAAACAGUACGUGAAAUUGUUGAAAGGGAAACGCUUGAAGUCAGUCGCGUCUUGCGGAGCUCAGCCUUGCUUCUGCUUGGUUUAUUCUCCGUUGGACGGGUCAACAUCAGUUUUGACCGGUGGAAAAGGGCUUGAGGAAUGUAGCGUCGUUUCGGCGACGUGUUAUAGCCUCAGGUCGUAUGCAUCGGUCGGGACUGAGGACUGCAGCACGCCCUUGUGGCCGGGGGUUCGCCCUACGUUCUGUGCUUAGGAUGUUGGCAAAAUGGCUUUAAGCGACCCGUCUUGAAACACGGACCAAGGAGUCUAACAUGUCUGCGAGUGUUCGGGUGGAAAACCCUUGCGCGUAAUGAAAGUGAAAGUUGGGAAUCUCCGCAAGGGGAUGCACCGACGCCCGGCCCUGAAGUUCUCUGACGGUGCUGCGGUAGAGCAUAUAUGUUGGGACCCGAAAGAUGGUGAACUAUGCCUGAAUAGGGUGAAGCCAGAGGAAACUCUGGUGGAGGCUCGUAGCGAUUCUGACGUGCAAAUCGAUCGUCAAAUUUGGG